UACUAUAUACCUACUUCCCUAACCUUCAAGACGCUGGAGGUUUUGAGUUGUUAACAUGAAUUGGAAGUGAGAGGAAGUUGGUUACCAUAAGGGGGAAGUAUACUCCACAAAACAUAAAGGACAGGCUGGGCCAAGGCCGUAUUUAUAUACGGCCUAUACAAAACAGCUUAAAUUUGGACCCAGUGGAUAGUGGUGUAGACGUGGACUCAGGGCUAAUGCAAAAGUUUUCAAAGUGUCAAAAAGAAUUCCCAUUCAAUAUCUUGAAGAAACACAUCAAAAGCUGUAGCAGACCAAGUCCACCAUCAACGUUGACUGUACCAAUGGAACAAGAAAUGGCAAGACAAAAACUUCCCUUAAUGACAUCCUGGCAUUCAUCAGUGGAGCUGAUGUCAUCCCACCAAUGGGAUUGAAGACAGCAUCGAUGUCGAAUUUUUUACACCAAAUCCGGAU